rnacentral:lncRNA from 1 species
UCAUACUACUUAUGCCUCCAUAACCUAGUGGUGUAUUUCGCUGAUGUCGGCGACUUACCCACUAAAAACUAUUGAUUAAUAAUUCUCACACUGUAACGACCCAACCCACUAGCAAUAAUAACUCGUUGGGCCCAGCCAACAGCCCAAAAUGCUUAAGCCCAGUUAUUAUUACUAGUGUCUAAGUCUAUUAUAUACCUAAUCACAUCCCU